GUGGUGCGAAAGUGAGAGUUAAGAAUACUUCUAAAUAAAUAUCUGAACUGCAUUGCUCCUAUCCCAGAAAUGCUGUUGUGAAAUACUUUGAAAACUAACGGGUGGGAAGGUACUGGGAUGGAAGCAAAGUGCCACCCGCCCACCUGCUACCACCUGUUUAGCUUCUGCGGCUCCUAUAAAGCCUCUUCUUGUCUGUAAGACACAAUCAUUGCUUGCCAGCAGGAGUCAAGAAAGGAGAGAUCUUUCUUUCUGUUGCAAAGUUACAUCUUUGGAUCGCAACAGUUUAUCAUUUCAAAACACUUUCUCCUGAACUGAAUCAGAACUUCUUUCAUUUGAAAUAGCCAUUGGAAUUGAUGUGUUUUUAAUCCAUUAAGAUCUUUUUUGGAUUAAAUGGACCCUUUUUCUUCAGGAAUUGACAUUUUGAGAAUGGAAACUUCAUUGUUUUCUAUCUCUUUGAGGUUAAAGAAACAAAAAGAAUGAAAGCAUCGGACAUUGCAAACUGUUUAUUCUUUUGUUAAACAAUAAGAAGCAAUUUUCAGACAAUUCCAGAAGAGCAUACCUUUUUUUUUCCUUUUUUUUUCUGCAAGAUGCUAUGAAAAUAUUCCUGUCUGAUAUCUGGAAAGAAAUUUGAGAGAUACACAGGCUACUCAUAGAAGUGCUUUCCUUACCACUUUUUACCUACUUCA
rnacentral:lncRNA from 1 species